AGAGUUUGAUCAUGGCUCAGAACGAACGCUGGCGGCGUGGAUAAGACAUGCAAGUCGAACGCUCACCACGAGGUAGCAAUAUCUCGGGGUGGGAGUGGCGGAAGGGUGCGUAACACGUGGGUAAUUUGCCGCGAAGCCUGGGAUAACUUGCUGAAAGGCGAGCUAAUACCGGAUGUGAAAACUGGAUGGCAUCAAUUGGUUUUCAAAGUCGGGGACCUUCAUCGGCCUGACACUUUGCGAUAAGCCCGCGGCCUAUCAGCUAGUUGGUGAGGUAACGGCUCACCAAGGCUAAGACGGGUAGCUGGUCUGAGAGGACGACCAGCCUCACUGGAACUGAGACACGGUCCAGACACCUACGGGUGGCAGCAGUCGAGAAUUUUUCUCAAUGGGCGAAAGCCUGAAGGAGCGACGCCGCGUGGGGGAUGAAGGGCUUCGGCUCGUAAACCCCUGUCAUUUGCGAACAAACCUUUUCAUCUAAUAAGUGAAAAGCUGAUAGUAGCGGAAGAGGAAGGGACGGCUAACUCUGUGCCAGCAGCCGCGGUAAUACAGAGGUCCCAAGCGUUGUUCGGAUUCACUGGGCGUAAAGGGUGCGUAGGUGGUGAGGCAAGUUCGGUGUGAAAUCUCCGGGCUCAACCCGGAAAUGGCAUUGAAAACUGCCCUGCUAGAGGGUUGGAAGGGAGACUGGAAUUCUUGGUGUAGCAGUGAAAUGCGUAGAUAUCAAGAGGAACACCAGUGGCGAAGGCGAGUCUCUGGACAACACCUGACACUGAGGCACGAAAGCUAGGGGAGCAAACAGGAUUAGAUACCCUAGUAGUCC
rnacentral:rRNA from 1 species